GUCUACAGCCAUGCCACCCUGAACAAGCCCGAUCCUGUCUGAUCUCGGAAGCUAAGCAAGGUCGGGCCUGAUUAGUACUUGGAUGGGAGACCACCUAGGAAUAUCAGGUGCUGUAGGCA
rnacentral:rRNA from 1 species